rnacentral:rRNA from 1 species
AGCGAACGUUUGCGGCGGGCUUAACACAUGCAAGUCGAACGGGCUGUUCCUUCGGGGGCAGUCAGUGGCGCACGGGUGCGUAACACGUAGGUAAUCAACCCUCUGGUUGGGGAUAACACUUCGAAAGGAGUGCUAAUACCCGGUAUGGCGCAGCGGUCUUCGGAUCGCGGCGAGAAAGACCCGCAAGGGUUGCCAGAGGACGAGCCUGCGGCCCAUCAGCUAGUUGGCGAGGUAACGGCUCACCAAGGCGAAGACGGGUAGCUGGUCUGAGAGGAUGAUCAGCCACACUGAAACUGAGACACGGUCCAGACUCCUACGGGAGGCAGCAGUGGGGAAUAUUGCGCAAUGGGCGAAAGCCUGACGCAGCCACGCCGCGUGAGCGAUGAAGGCC